rnacentral:rRNA from 1 species
AUACGUAGGGUGCUAGCGUUAUCCGGAUUUACUGGGCGUAAAGGGUGCGUAGGUGGUCUUUCAAGUCGGUGGUUAAAGGCUACGGCUCAACCGUAUUAAGCCGCCGAAACUGGAAGACUUGAGUGCAGGAGAGGAAAGUGGAAUUCUCAGUGUAGCGGUGAAAUGCGUAGAUAUUGAGAAGAACACCAGUAGCGAAGGCGGCUUUCUGGACUGUAACUGACACGGAGGCACGAAAGCGUGGGUAGCAAACAGGAUUAGAUACCCUGGUAGUCCACGCCGUAAACGAUGAGUAUUAGGUGUCGGGGGUUACCCCCCUCGGUGCCGCAGUUAACGCAUUAAAUACUCCGCCUGGGGAGUACGCACGCAAGUGUGAAACUCAAAUGAAUUGACGGGG